rnacentral:tRNA from 1 species
AAGAUUUUAAGUUAAACUAUAAACUUUUAACCUUCAAAGUUAAUAAUACCCUCAAUAGUAAAUCUUA